AGUGAACGCUGGCGGUAGGCCUAACACAUGCAAGUCGAACGGCAGCACAGUAAGAUCUAGCUCUUACGGGUGGCGAGUGGCGGACGGGUGAGGAAUACAUCGGAAUCUACUUUUUCGUGGGGGAUAACGUAGGGAAACUUACGCUAAUACCGCAUACGACCUACGGGUGAAAGCAGGGGAUCUUCGGACCUUGCGCGAUUGAAUGAGCCGAUGUCGGAUUAGCUAGUUGGCGGGGUAAAGGCCCACCAAGGCGACGAUCCGUAGCUGGUCUGAGAGGAUGAUCGGCCACACUGGAACUGAGACACGGUCCAGACUCCUACGGGAGGCAGCAGUGGGGAAUAUUGGACAAUGGGCGAAAGCCUGACCCAGCAAUACCGCGUGGGUGAAGAAGGUCUUCGGGUUGUAAAGCCCUUUUGUUGGGAAAGAAAAGCAGCAGGUUAAUCCCCCGCUGUUCUGACGGUACCCAAAGAAUAAGCACCGGCUAACUUCGUG
rnacentral:rRNA from 1 species